rnacentral:tRNA from 1 species
GCGCCUGUAGCUCAGUGGAUAGAGUGGCGGCCUCCGGAGCCGUAGGUCGUGAGUUCGAAUCUCGCCAGGCGCACCA